rnacentral:lncRNA from 1 species
AGUUGUAAGCAGGAAUGGGCAAAUAGUUGAUGGGUGGAUCAAAACAAAAACACACCCUUGGCACAGGGCAGACACUCAGCAAAUUUAAGGUGGGUUAAGCAGUUCGAAUAUUGUCUGGCACCUUUUGCUGUGAAAAACAAUUGAGGGGCUGCCCCUGGGGUUAGGAAGGAAGAGGCAGCUGCAGACAGUGGAGCAGUGAAGGUUAGUUGCCAUCAGCAGGGUCCUUUCACCUGGCAUCAUGGUUAAU